rnacentral:rRNA from 1 species
UGUUAGUGGAAGCGUCUGGAAAGGCGCGCGAUACAGGGUGACAGCCCCGUACACAAAAAUGCACAUGCUGUGAGCUCGAUGAGUAGGGCGGGACACGUGGUAUCCUGUCUGAAUAUGGGGGGACCAUCCUCCAAGGCUAAAUACUCCUGACUGACCGAUAGUGAACCAGUACCGUGAGGGAAAGGCGAAAAGAACCCCGGCGAGGGGAGUGAAAAAGAACCUGAAACCGUGUACGUACAAGCAGUGGGAGCACGCUUAGGCGUGUGACUGCGUACCUUUUGUAUAAUGGGUCAGCGACUUAUAUUCUGUAGCAAGGUUAACCGAAUAGGGGAGCCGAAGGGAAACCGAGUCUUAACUGGGCGUUAAGUUGCAGGGUAUAGACCCGAAACCCGGUGAUCUAGCCAUGGGCAGGUUGAAGGUUGGGUAACACUAACUGGAGGACCGAACCGACUAAUGUUGAAAAAUUAGCGGAUGACUUGUGGCUGGGGGUGAAAGGCCAAUCAAACCGGGAGAUAGCUGGUUCUCCCCGAAAGCUAUUUAGGUAGCGCCUCGUGAAUUCAUCUCCGGGGGUAGAGCACUGUUUCGGCAAGGGGGUCAUCCCGACUUACCAACCCGAUGCAAACUGCGAAUACCGGAGAAUGUUAUCACGGGAGACACACGGCGGGUGCUAACGUCCGUCGUGAAGAGGGAAACAACCCAGACCGCCAGCUAAGGUCCCAAAGUCAUGGUUAAGUGGGAAACGAUGUGGGAAGGCCCAGACAGCCAGGAUGUUGGCUUAGAAGCAGCCAUCAUUUAAAGAAAGCGUAAUAGCUCACUGGUCGAGUCGGCCUGCGCGGAAGAUGUAACGGGGCUAAACCAUGCACCGAAGCUGCGGCAGCGACACUGUGUGUUGUUGGGUAGGGGAGCGUUCUGUAAGCCUGCGAAGGUGUGCUGUGAGGCAUGCUGGAGGUAUCAGAAGUGCGAAUGCUGACAUAAGUAACGAUAAAGCGGGUGAAAAGCCCGCUCGCCGGAAGACCAAGGGUUCCUGUCCAACGUUAAUCGGGGCAGGGUGAGUCGACCCCUAAGGCGAGGCCGAAAGGCGUAGUCGAUGGGAAACAGGUUAAUAUUCCUGUACUUGGUGUUACUGCGAAGGGGGGACGGAGAAGGCUAUGUUGGCCGGGCGACGGUUGUCCCGGUUUAAGCGUGUAGGCUGGUUUUCCAGGCAAAUCCGGAAAAUCAAGGCUGAGGCGUGAUGACGAGGCACUACGGUGCUGAAGCAACAAAUGCCCUGCUUCCAGGAAAAGCCUCUAAGCAUCAGGUAACAUCAAAUCGUACCCCAAACCGACACAGGUGGUCAGGUAGAGAAUACCAAGGCGCUUGAGAGAACUCGGGUGAAGGAACUAGGCAAAAUGGUGCCGUAACUUCGGGAGAAGGCACGCUGAUAUGUAGGUGAAGUCCCUCGCGGAUGGAGCUGAAAUCAGUCGAAGAUACCAGCUGGCUGCAACUGUUUAUUAAAAACACAGCACUGUGCAAACACGAAAGUGGACGUAUACGGUGUGACGCCUGCCCGGUGCCGGAAGGUUAAUUGAUGGGGUCAGCGCAAGCGAAGCUCUUGAUCGAAGCCCCGGUAAACGGCGGCCGUAACUAUAACGGUCCUAAGGUAGCGAAAUUCCUUGUCGGGUAAGUUCCGACCUGCACGAAUGGCGUAAUGAUGGCCAGGCUGUCUCCACCCGAGACUCAGUGAAAUUGAACUCGCUGUGAAGAUGCAGUGUACCCGCGGCAAGACGGAAAGACCCCGUGAACCUUUACUAUAGCUUGACACUGAACAUUGAGCCUUGAUGUGUAGGAUAGGUGGGAGGCUUUGAAGUGUGGACGCCAGUCUGCAUGGAGCCGACCUUGAAAUACCACCCUUUAAUGUUUGAUGUUCUAACGUUGACCCGUGAUCCGGGUUGCGGACAGUGUCUGGUGGGUAGUUUGACUGGGGCGGUCUCCUCCUAAAGAGUAACGGAGGAGCACGAAGGUUGGCUAAUCCUGGUCGGACAUCAGGAGGUUAGUGCAAUGGCAUAAGCCAGCUUGACUGCGAGCGUGACGGCGCGAGCAGGUGCGAAAGCAGGUCAUAGUGAUCCGGUGGUUCUGAAUGGAAGGGCCAUCGCUCAACGGAUAAAAGGUACUCCGGGGAUAACAGGCUGAUACCGCCCAAGAGUUCAUAUCGACGGCGGUGUUUGGCACCUCGAUGUCGGCUCAUCACAUCCUGGGGCUGAAGUAGGUCCCAAGGGUAUGGCUGUUCGCCAUUUAAAGUGGUACGCGAGCUGGGUUUAGAACGUCGUGAGACAGUUCGGUCCCUAUCUGCCGUGGGCGCUGGAGAACUGAGGGGGGCUGCUCCUAGUACGAGAGGACCGGAGUGGACGCAUCACUGGUGUUCGGGUUGUCAUGCCAAUGGCACUGCCCGGUAGCUAAAUGCGGAAGAGAUAAGUGCUGAAAGCAUCUAAGCACGAAACUUGCCCCGAGAUGAGUUCUCCCUGACUCCUUGAGAGUCCUGAAGGAACGUUGAAGACGACGACGUUGAUAGGCCGGGUGUGUAAGCGCAGCGAUGCGUUGAGCUAACCGGUACUAAUGAACCGUGAGG